UAUUGGUCAAUGGCCCAACGGCUGAACCAGCAAUUUGGGGGAAUGGAGGUAUAUAUCUCAUGAUGCAUAUAUACAAAUCGACUACGUCGUAUAAAGUUCUAAAUAGAUAAUUGAUUAUGACAGAUUUCUAUUUAUGUGUCUCGACCAAUUCUUGUGCCAGCAGUCGCGGCAACACAAGUGAGACUAGUGUUAUUCAUCUUUAUUAGGUUUAAAGGGUACCUAGACGGUUUUUUUAGCCUGAAAAAUGUACAAAAAAACUAGAGUUUUAUAUGAGAGGUAAAUAUUAGGACUAUUGGUGUAGAGAUGAAAUUUUUUGAUACUAAUUGGAUGUAUAAUGGCGAAGGCGAUCCUCUAUUUAUAAACUGACGUUAAGGGACGAAGGCUUGGGGAGCGAAUAGGAUUAGAUACCCUAGUAGUCCAGGCAGAAAAUUAUGAAUGUUAUAGACUAAGUAUAUAAUUAGUGUAUAAAUGAAAGUGUAAGCAUUCCACCUCAAGAGUAAUGUGGCAACGCAGGAACUGAAAUCAUUAGACCGUUUGUGAAACCAGUAGUGAAGUAUGUUAUUUA
rnacentral:rRNA from 1 species